rnacentral:rRNA from 1 species
AACGCGAAGAACCUUACCCGGGCUCAAACGACAGCGGACAGCUCCCGAAAGGGGGUCUCCGGCAACGGCCGCUGUCGAGGUGCUGCAUGGUUGUCGUCAGCUCGUGCCGUGAGGUGUCGGCUUAAGUGCCAUAACGAGCGCAACCCCCAUCUUCAGUUGCUAACGGGUAGAGCCGAGGACUUUGGAGAGACUGCCGGCGCAAGCUGCGAGGAAGGCGAGGAUGACGUCAAAUCAGCACGGCCCUUACGUCCGGGGCGACACACGUGUUACAAUGGCGGGGCACAGCGGGAGGCCAGGUGGCGACACCGAGCGGACCCCCCAAACCCGUCUCAGUUCGGAUUGGAGUCUGCAACCCGACUCCAUGAAGCUGGAUUCGCUAGUAAUCGCGCAUCAGCCAUGGCGCGGUGAAUACGUUCCCGGGUCUUGUACACACGC